GACGAACGCUGGCGGCGUGCUUAACACAUGCAAGUCGAACGGAAAGGCCCUGCGUUUGUGGGGUGCUCGAGUGGCGAACGGGUGAGUAACACGUGAGUAACCUGCCCUUGACUUUGGGAGAACAUCAGGAAACUGGGGCUAAUACCGGAUAGGAGCUCCUGCUGCACGGGGGGGGUUGGAAAGUUUCGGCGGUUGGGGCUGGACUCGCGGCUUAUCAGCUGGUUGGUGGGGUAGUGGCUUACCAAGGCUUUGACGGGUAGCCGGCCUGAGAGGUUGACCGGCCACCUUGGUCCUGCGGUACGGCCCAGACUCCUACGGGAGGCAGCAGUGGGGAGCAUUGCACAGUGGGCGGACGCCUGAUGCAGCGACGCCGCGUGCGGGAUGACGGCCUUCGGGUUGUAAACCGCUUUCGCCUGUGACGAAGCGUGCGUGACGGUACUGGGUAAAGAAGCCCCGGCUAACUACGUG
rnacentral:rRNA from 1 species